UCAUUCAUAAUUUGUAUUCUGUCUACGGCCAUUCUCGUCCGAUCACCGAAGUUAAGCAACGUCGGGCCCGGUCAGUACUUGGGAGGGUGACCACCUGGGAAUACCGGGUGCCGUAGGCU